GCGACCCCAGGUCACGCGGGACUACCCGCUGAGUUUAAGCAUAUC
rnacentral:rRNA from 1 species